rnacentral:rRNA from 1 species
CAGCAGCCGCGGGAAUACGUAGGUGGCAAGCGUUGUCCGGAAUUAUUGGGCGUAAAGCGCGCGCAGGUGGUUUAAUAAGUCUGAUGUGAAAGCCCACGGCUCAACCGUGGAGGGUCAUUGGAAACUGUUAAACUUGAGUGCAGGAGAGAAAAGUGGAAUUCCUAGUGUAGCGGUGAAAUGCGUAGAGAUUAGGAGGAACACCAGUGGCGAAGGCGGCUUUUUGGCCUGUAACUGACACUGAGAGACGAAAGCUAGGGGAGCAAAUGGGAUUAGAUACCCCCGUAGUCCCUGUCCUUAUACA